CUGGUUGAUCCUGCCAGUAGUCAUAUGCUUGUCUCAAAGAUUAAGCCAUGCAUGUCCAAGUAUAAACCUUUUUAUACGGUGAAACUGCGAAUGGCUCAUUAAAUCAGUAAUAGUUUAUUUGAUUGUGCACAUACUACAUGGAUAACUGUAGUAAUUCUAGAGCUAAUACAUGCAAAAGGAACCGAUUGUGAGGAGUCCAGAUCUGCUCUUUCUUCUUCGGGGGGAAGAGUGGUUUGGGAACCACUUUUCACGAGAGGUUUGCAUUUAUUUGGUUCCAAAAAACCAAUUGCAAGUCUUUUUCCUUUCUUCGGAGAGGUGAAAGGUUUGUAAAACGAUUUUUGGUGAUUCAGAAUAACUGUGCAGAUCGUAUGGCCUUUGAGCCGACGACGAAUCAUUCAAAUUUCUGCCCUAUCAACUUUCGAUGGUAGGAUAGUGGCCUACCAUAGUGAUAACGGGUAACGGAGAAUUAGGGUUUGAUUCCGGAGAGGGGGCCUGAGAGAUGGCCACUACUUCUAAGGAAGGCAGCAGGCGCGCAAAUUGUUCAAUCCUGACACAGGGAGACAGUGACAAGAAAUAACAAUGCAGGUCCUCCAAAAGGUCUUGCAAUGGAUGAGUACAAUUUAAACCCUUUAAUGAGGAACAAGUCACCAUCUGGU
rnacentral:rRNA from 1 species